CAACAGAUUAAUCUCUGACUUUCAGAUUAUGGAAUCUUAUUCCGUUGAGACCAUGGUGGCGGUCGCUGCUUUUUGCCACCUUUAUCUAAAAUUAUCCCAUAAUACAAUAAAACUCUACUUCGCAUGCAUUCAACAUCACUUAAGUAUUACCUUCCCUAAUCACAAACCAUUCAUGCCAAGUUACCCUAUAAUAACAUUCUUAAAGGCAUAAAACGAGUAGACCAUCCAGUAACCCCAAAGUGUCAACCUAUUGACGGGCCUAAAUUCAGAGCACUUUCUGACAUAUUAGAUAAUCAUCCGUUUGAAACACACACCAAUUCAGUAUUCAAGGCCUCCAAAUAUAUAGCUUUUUACGGUUACCUACGCCCAAAGGAUUUUACAAUAGAAACAUUAUCAGGACAAUCACGGUGUCUAAAUAUCAAUGAUCUCAUUAAUACAGCAAAUUAUUACAUACUUAUAUUAAGACAUGCUAAAAGCAAUUAAACAUGCCCUCAAGUAGAAAUACCCCUUUAUCCCACCGACAAUAACUGAUGCCCAAUAAAAAUACUAGACAGCUACUGUGACACUAUAACAGUUUGUCCAGGAAAUACGUCUCUUCUGUUGUUGCACGGUAAACCACUCACAUCAGCUACAUUUAUAUUUUACAUCAGCACUCUAUUUGUGAGACUUGAAUUACACCAGUCUUCAGGACAUUCCUUCAGAAUCGGUGGAGCAUUGGCUGCCUCUAGCAGGGAUAUUCCAGUUCGUAUAAUUAAAAGACAAGGACACUAGAAACCCUCUGUUUAUAAUAGAUACAUACCUCAACUAAAGAAAGAGUGAAGAAAAG